CAGGGAUCAAAUAUCAGACCUUUAUUUCAGUGCAAAACCACCACGUGUUCAUUUAAAAGAGUAUUCAGUGACAGGUUUAUUCUAGACUCACUCCGCGGAGACUGACAGUCUUUGGGCAUUACUGCACACGAAACCUCUCUUUCAAAUUAACUUUCACAUUUUUCAGUCUGUGUAAUUUAAACAGAACAUAUUACAAAAUACUAGUGUGCACACUACAAAUGUAAUCCUUAAAAGGAGCAUUUGUCUAUCCACCUGCACUGUGAAGGGAUCUGUUUACAGCCAGUAUGGAAAGGAGGAAUCAUUACAGACACUAAUAACUCUGUCGAAGUAAAUAUGAGCAUGUGUGCAGGUAGGUAAUAAAAUAUUUGCCAUGCUUUUUGGCAAUAAAAUGUGUCAGUCUGUACAGCAUUUUACACACUGGAAAAAUACAGGAUGUAUUUCUCUAAUAGACAAGGAUAUUAGACUGACUGGUUUAAACUAUUUAUAUUAGUUUUGUUUAUCUUAUUAUUCUAUUUCUAAAUACAUUAUUUACUCAGACAGUAUGCCUACUAUGCUGUUUCAGUAAGGGACGGAUGUCUGCAAGGCAGUGAGUAAAUAGGUCACUUCACUUAAAACUGACUGCAAUUAAAAUCAGACAGAAACCAGUUCAAUGAGGGUCUCGCUCUUGUAGUGGUUUUUGGUUUUUUGUGUCAUGGUAGCGGUUCCCAAAUGUUACAGGAUGUUAGCAUCUAUCAGUUUCGAAAAAUCCUUUCCCACUUGUGACAAAGAACUCAGUCUCAAACUGUGCUGGAGCUGAUGAAACUAAAAGUCUCUGAAGGCAGGAGUGUGCUGAACACUGGGGCUGUGUUACUGUUGCUGAUGGGUUCAAUACUGCAUGCACCCAUCAGUGUUACCUGAUGGGUGCAUGCAGUAUUGAAAUCACCCCACAGAAUUAAAUCAUGUCCAAAUUGUACAAUUCGAUUUCUAUACAGUAACAACUCUUGUUGGAAACCAGAAAACCCCUACAGGAAGACACGCAGUGAGGGCAGAGCUGAGCGUUAGCCCGGGCGCUGCUCCGGUGCGACAGCCCUGACCGCCCGGGCGCUGCUCCGGUGCGACAGCCCUGACCGCCCGGGCGCUGCUCCGGUGCGACAGCCCUGACCGCCCGGGCGCUGCUCCGGUGCGACAGCCCUGACCGCCCGGGCGGUGCUCCGGUGCGACAGCCCUGACCGCCCGGUCCUGACUAAUGACUGGCGAUGUUUCACUCUUAGCUGGACAGGACCGGAAAACGGGUUUCAAGUCUUUUUAUCGGAAUACUUUUUCAUCCAGGCGGUUAGAGGGCUCUUCGAGGGUUAAGGAAAUAACGUCACCUACAAAACUGCGCUAAGUGCCGUGAGACAUGGUGAGUUUAGCAACCAUCGCCUGCUAAUUAUGUUUCUAAGAAAGCGAAGGUUGCCACUGUAAUGCACAGCCGGGGCGAGCUGUAUGUAGGACCGCAACGUUGGUUCCGCAUCUGCGGCGGAAGGGUUAUUUAGUCUGCGCAGUUUACACAGGUUUAGGAUUGGGCGAUGCAUAAAAACACUUUGCAUAUUUGCCUCUAUGAGCCUUCGUUUGAUUAUUGGCAAAGCAGCGUUUUAGCGCUUCGAUUUGCAUUCCGCGGAUAUUUUUCUACGUUUGACUUCAGACAGGAUCAACUUGGAACGACAUCUCAUCUCGCUACCUCAGUAACACUUCGUCAUACAACGUGUUUGAUCGACUGGUUGCUAUGAUGGCAACGACAACUCCUGGGUGGAUGACCUCGGAAAAGAGUUGGGGAAAAGAAAUCUGACAUUUCUUUCUCCUGAAGAAAGACAAGGAGACGAUACCUGAGGCACAGUUUAAUGCAGAUUGUUUGGACACUCUGGACUACUUUGAUUAUGAUACCCCAUCUAAUCCGACUAUUCACAAUAUUAUGGAGGCAACAAUAGCCUAUUAUUUACACAAAAUUCUUCAACAAAGAGCUAAAAGAAAACUGUGUAUAUUGUAUUUAUACAGGUGAAUUGUACAGACAAUCUCACUCAUGCACUGACAUACUUCCCUUGCAUUAUAUCAAAGGGCAUCUGGGAGAAAUUUUUACGCAGAAGCACAUGUACUGGAUUGUCUUGGGAUCGUAUCGCCUUCUACGUACGACAUUCAAGACAUUGCUGCAGGUGCUUUGCAGAAAUGGUUGAUGAGCUCAAGAAAGGAUUUACCGUCGCAGCACCGCAUUUAAAGACAGCGGCUAAAAACAUUGUUUCUUAUGUUAUCACCAACGUUAUGCAUCAUAGUAACAAACAGUAAGAGGGGUCAGGAAUAAUGGCAAUAAAACGUCCGCCUGGAUGAAGGGGGAGUUCCCAAUCAAAGACGCGUCGCCGAAUAUUAAAUAAGAAGAGCGAUACUAAGACAAGAAAGAAUACACAAGCAAGGAGAAGCAAGUCGGCAAAACGUGGUAAGACAAGAGAUAUAUUCUAGCAGGAAUGGCUUUGGUACAUAAUGUGUCGAAAGAAUGUGCUAAAUCGGAAUUAGAUCUGUUUAUGGUGCCUUUGACACAAACAAGUAUCGAUAAAUGUGCCUACAUCGAAAUCCCCCCUCUAGCAGCCAUUUUGGACUCUACGCCAAUAGAAUUUUUUGUUCCGACUAUCUGGAUCUGAACAAGACUUUUUUAUAUACACGUGUUAAGAUUACCAAAGCUAACGGGGGAAAUCUGGCACAAGGAGAUGAAGUAGGAUUUAUCAACUACCCAGGUUGUACAAUAUUUUCACAAGUGGACAUUUCGCUGGGGGAUGGGCUCAUAACAGAGUCGUCAAACACCUAUCCUUAUCUUAUGUUUUAUAGAAUGUCUUUUAAAUUAUAGGAAGGACACUCUGCAGACGUAGUUUGGAUCUGGACUAUUCUGCAUGGAUACUGCAGGACAUAUGGAGGAUGAGACAGUUGGAGGAGAUAACGAAGGUCUUGUUAAGAGAAUGGGGUAUACAGAAGGAGGCCGUGUGGUAGAGGUAAUUGCACCUUUACAUUCUGAUUUGUUUUUUCAAGACAAGUUAAUGAUAAAUGGUGUUGAUAUUAAGAUAAAAUUUAUAAGAGCUAAAAACAAAUUUUGUUUAAUGCAUAACACUGUAGAUGACUUUCAAGUCAAUAUUCUAUCUGCAAGCCUGUUUGUAAAGAAGGUCACAGUAUCUCCUGCUGUUAAACUAGCUCAUGCCAAGGCUCUAAUGCACAGUAAUGCGAAAUACCCUGUCGACAGAGUAUGUCUCACAAAUGUCAGCAUUCCUACAGGCACUCAGGUUUAUAAUCAAGAAAAUAUAUUCUUGGGACAGAUACCUACAUUUAUUGUUGUAGGAUUUGUAGAUCAUGAUGCCUUCACAGGUAGUUAUGCACGUAAUCCGUUUACAUUUAAUCAUUAUGAUAUAGAGUUUUUAUGUUUAUAUGUUGAUGGACAGCAAUAGCCCUCAAAGCCUUUUCAACCUAAUUUUGCUAGGAGUAAUGCCAUUAGGGAAUAUCACCAGUUAUAUUCAACAACUGGAAAGUAUCUUAAAAACAACGCUGCAUCCAUUACCCGUGAUGAAUUCUGUAGAGGAUAAUGUUUGUUUUGCUUUAACCUGGCCCCUGUCUCAUAAAAAACGGGAAUGUCAGAUUAGAGGCUCGGUUUAGAAAUCCUCUUCAGCGAACAAUAAAUGCAGUUAUCUAUGCUACAUUUGAUUCUAUAAUUGAGAUAUCAUCAAGGCGUCAAGUUCUCAUUGACUUUUUCUAAUUUGAAAUAAUUGUAAUAUGAAUACAGUAAAAUUGUCGGAAAUUCUUGAUUAGAAACAAAGUCUAAUACCUUCUUACUUGAGCGGCCAGCAUUGGGUCGCUAUUUACGUCAAUAAGCCGGGUAUGGGAUUAUUCUUUGACAGUUUUGGGAAUCCGCCUACAUACUCACAUUUUCCAGAAUAAUUUUCUGGCUUCCUUAAUAGAAAUUGUGAGUUUAUGCAACGUUCUGUAAAACAGGUACAAGAUGUGUGAUCUGCUGUGUGUGGUCAACAUUGUAUUUUUUUUUCUGUAUCAUAUGGAUAAUGGGUUAUCGUAUGAUAUGAUGAAAUAUACUAAUAUUUUGUAUGAAAAUGAUUUUAUGGUUUGUAAAUUUGUGAAAAAAAACGCCCCUCGAUUGCAUGUGUUAAAAAUCAUUUUUUUAAAUGCGUCCAAAGUGUACAAUCAGAGGAUUCUUUUAAAUAUGUGUAAAGCAACAUUAUAUACUGCAUAAUUAUUGAAAAAUAUUUUAAAUAAAAUGUAAACAUAUACAUGUACAAUAAGUUUUGUUAUUGCCUUGUAGAUCUAAAUAAACAACUCUACAAUGAUAAA